UCAAUGACUGCAAAGGACAUAUGUGCGAUCUAUCUUUAGCCUCAUGCAUUCCAAUUUGCGCCCCAGAUACCGGAAGUUAUGCGAACACUUCCGGUAUUAUGCGUUCCAUCAUGCGUGCCAUGUACCGGAAGUGACGCAUCGUAACUAUGCCAUGCGUUCCACUAAAUGGAAAUGGAUAAUACCGGCGUCCGGAAGUGUCAGAUGAUACCAGUGCUUAAAUACUGAGCACUAGCUUCCACAGACCGGCCACAUCAGCUCCCCUCUCACAUCUGUGAAGUUAGACAGUGGGUCCCUCCUGAUCAGCUAUCUAUCAACUGACAGGACUCAGUAUCAUCUUAUAUUUCCCACUGACUGCAUACAGGAGCUAAGUAUCAUUUCUUUAUUUAUCUUGUAAUUCUGUCUUCAAAAAGUCUCAAAACAUGGCUUCUGCGCAUUUUUUAACUUGCGAAAAAACGUUGUGACUUUUUGCAUUCUUACACCACUCACUCUAUUAGGCUACUUUCAC